AUGGUCAGAGGAGCGCGGAGGCCCGGCUGUCGCUGUCGCUGUCCGCGGGGUCAGGCAGGGCAGGCAGGGGCCGUGCCGGGCCGCGCUGGGCGGGUCGGCCUGGUGCUCCAGGGGUCUCUGAGCCUGUGCUCCGUCUCUCCGCGCAGGGUGCUCCAAGGUGACCUGCAUCAGCCUGACCCGGGAGGCCUCCAUCCAGCUGUCGCCCUUGCACGGCAAGCAGAUUUCCAUCCGCUACCUGGACAUGACGGACUGCUUCGCGCUGGAGGACGAGGGCCUGCACACCAUCGCGGCGCACUGCACGCGGCUGACCCACCUGUACCUGCGCCGCUGCGCGCGCCUCACCGACGAGGGCCUGCGCUACCUGGUGAUCUACUGCAGCUCCCUCCGCGAGCUGAGCGUCAGCGACUGCCGCUGCAUCAGCGACUUCGGCCUGCGGGAGAUCGCCAAGCUGGAGGCGCGCCUGCGGUACCUGAGCAUCGCGCACUGUGGCCGGGUCACCGACGUGGGCAUCCGCUACGUGGCCAGGUACUGCGGCAAGCUGCGCUACCUCAACGCGCGGGGCUGCGAGGGCAUCACGGACCACGGCGUGGAGUACCUGGCCAAGCACUGCGCCAGGCUCAAGUCCCUGGACAUCGGCAAGUGCCCGCUGGUGUCCGACUCGGGCCUCGAGUGCCUGGCCCUGAACUGCUUCAACCUCAAGCGGCUCAGCCUCAAGUCGUGCGAGAGCAUCACGGGCCGGGGCCUGCAGAUCGUGGCGGCCAACUGCUUCGACCUGCAGAUGCUCAACGUGCAGGACUGCGACGUGUCCGUGGAGGCGCUGCGCUUCGUGAAGCGCCACUGCAGGCGCUGUGUCAUCGAGCACAGCAACCCCGCCUUCUGCUGAAGGCCCGGCGAGGACAGGGGCCGCGGGGGCCCCGAGGCCUUUCCUCCUCCCAAGGGGCGCCUGGGGCCUCCUGUCUCAGGAGCCCCCGGGGGCGCCCCCUCCCCGGGCCGCCCGGCCAACAGCCGCAGCCACACACCCUCCGCAGAUGCUCCCCUGCCCCCCCACCCCCCGCCCCUCGGCCCCGGGUUGGCCUAAGCCCCACGCACCAGUCCCCGGCCCAGGCAGAUUCUCGGUGA
rnacentral:lncRNA from 1 species